AAACUCGCGCAGGAUUAGGCUGUUGGGUGGGUGACGCUACUAAGCUGCCCAAACCUUAUCCUUAGCCUGACUUAACGGUCCUAGGCCACGGUGGCACUGAAAAAAGGGCCACAGUUCACAUGAACUCAGCAGUGUUGAAUUUUUGGCAAUCGCUAGAGAGGCGGACCAAGAUGCUGCUUACA
rnacentral:rRNA from 1 species